GAUGAACGCUGGCGGAAUGCUUUACACAUGCAAGUCGAACGAUGAACCUUAGCUUGCUAAGGGAAUUAGUGGCGAACGGGUGAGUAAUAUAUCGGAACGUAUCCAUUAAUGGGGGAUAACUAGUCGAAAGAUUGGCUAAUACCGCAUACGUCCUACGGGAGAAAGCUAGGGAUCUUCGGACCUGGCGUUAAUGGAGCGGCCGAUAUCUGAUUAGCUAGUUGGUGAGGUAAAGGCUCACCAAGGCGAGGAUCAGUAGCUGGUCUGAGAGGAUGACCAGCCACACUGGAGCUGGGACACGGUCCAGACUCCUACGGGAGGCAGCAGUGGGGAAUUUUAGACAAUGGGCGCAAGCCUGAGCCAGCCAUUCCGCGUGAGUGAAGAAGGCCUUCGGGUUGUAAAGCUCUUUCGCAAGGAAAGAAAACUUGCCCUCUAACAUAGGGUGAGGUUGACGGUACCUUGAUAAGAAGCACCGGCUAACUACGUGCCAGCCGCCGCAGUAACAC
rnacentral:rRNA from 1 species